GUGGGGAGCGUACUUGAGAGCCUUGCAGAAAGCUCCUGUGCGCACAAAAUUGAUCACCUCUGUUGUGAUGAUGUCGACAUCCCAGCUUACGGGCCAGCUUCUGCAGAAGGGGAGGAUGACUGAUCCGAAGGGC
rnacentral:snRNA from 13 species